UUAGUCUGUUUUCAUGCUGCUGACAAAGACAUACUUGAGACUGGGUAAUUUAUUUAUUUAUUUAUUUUUUAAAAAAGAGGUUUAAUGGACUCACAGUUCCAUGUGGCUGGGGAGAUCUCCCACUGGGUCCCUCCCACAACACAUGAGAAUUAUGGGAGCUACAGUUCAAGAUGAGAUUUGGGUGGGGACACAGCAAAACUAUAUCAUGCAUUAAAUAAAUGGUAGUUCUUUCCAGAGCAGGAGAAGGAACACUAAACACUGAGCAGCAUUCUCCCUCCCCAGGGUCCAACCCCAGAGCAAUGCCAGCCCAUGUGCAUGAGUAGGAGGCCACUGUGAGCAGGCUCAGCACAGCAGCAAUCACAGAAAGACAUCAGCAACAACCUAACUGGCAGAUUGGGCUGGAGUCUCAAACUCAACUCACUCCAGAGAAGGCAGGCCAAAUAAAAGAGAGAGGGGCCAGAAAGGGGCCAUGGCACUUAGCCCACCGACCAACCCUCGGCAGGAGAGAGAAACACCCCAGCGUGGCCAGAGGGCCUGUGCUUUCAAAGGAAGCUGAUAAUCCAGACAAUUAUGUAUAAACUUCUGAUGUUUUUUAAGGUUAGCAUCCAAGUAAAAAGUUUUUAAUCACUGUUCAGACCACAGAAGCAUCUCUGAAGGUCAACUUUCACCAUUAAACAGACAAUGGUGUGUUUAUGUUCUGGAAACAUACAACAGUGAAAGUGAAUUAGUACAUUUUACAUACAGACACAGAGAGUUCCCAAGGGCAGACUGGUAAGGGGAUAAAGCCGGGCACUGAAGAAUGACACUAUUUAGAUAUUGUUUUCUUUUCUACUUCUUUUUUUUAAAAAAAAAAAUUUUCAUGAACCAUACAUGAGCCUUAAUAUACAUUGUUUUAAAGCUCCAUGGUAAUGCUAUUUAUAUGCAC
rnacentral:lncRNA from 1 species